GCCGGGGUGGCUGAGCGGUUAAAGCGCUGGCCAGCUCGUAAGCCCAGAAUUGAGGCUUAAAGGAUAGCCAGUGGCCCUUACGGGCCUCGUGGGUUCGAAUCCCACCCCCGGCG
rnacentral:tRNA from 1 species